GCUCUUUCAAGUUUACAUUUGAUUAUGGUAAUUCAACCAACACUAGUAAUAUGGUGGUCCGUGGCAUUAAACUUCAACAAUUCCAUUGAAGCUCAAGUGAGAGCAGCAGUAAGAGUGGUUUGGGUGGCAAUGCUUCGAUAAAUAUUUUGUUUUAUCUUGUUUCUCUUCAGUUCAGUUGUUACCGGGUGACUGGUGUUGUGUAUUUGAUGGAAGAUCUUAACUGGAUGGCCAUUGGCAAUAACUUCAGGUAUGAUUGUAAUGUUAUUAUUGCCGAGCAAUUCAUGAUUAUUUUGUUGGUUUGGGAAUGACGAAACUGUCUGGAUAUAGGAUUUUGGAUAAUCUUAUGAGGAGGCCAAAAUAUACAUAGAUAUAAUUACAGCAUUUAUUAGGCAAAAUAAAACACAGUAUUUAUAGCAAUUAUGAUUAGAAUAUUACGACCCUUAUUCGAGUUCAGAUCCACUCCAUUUCUUUAUCCUCCUUUUAUUCCAGUCCAAUUAUUAGAUUUGUGACAUGUGGCAAAAACACAUCUAAAGACUAUUACGCAUCCUUUUCUUCU
rnacentral:lncRNA from 1 species